rnacentral:snRNA from 1 species
UCUCUAGGGUAGCAGAGAUACUGAAACAGGAAAUAUGCAGACAAGUUGGGCCUGGCUCCCAUGGAAGGACGACAUGCAAAUUCUUGAAGCAUUCCAUAUUUUA